AUGUGUUUGCCAAAGCAACAAUAUGCUAACAGGCAAGACGAAUCAGAUACGUGGCAGGUGAUCGAUGAGGAAAGAAGAACAAACACUUGAGUUGAUCUCUAGUACUAUCAAAUUUGGUAACGAUAGAACAGAGAG
ensembl:ncRNA C05A9.8 ncRNA